ensembl:bidirectional_promoter_lncRNA A730020E08Rik RIKEN cDNA A730020E08 gene
GGCUUCCGCGCACGCAGCCUGGCGCGGCGACACGCGCACACCCGCGGCCGAAUCGGGGGAGGGAGCGGAGCCCGCCGAGCGCCAGAUCCCCGCGCCCUGCGAGUCGCCAGGGCAGUAAGGGGCACGCGCGGUGGGACGCUGAAGAAUGGGACAGCGCUGCGCCUGGGCUCUCUGUGACAGAGAUAUUGUCUUUCCCUUCCUGGAGAUAGGAGUUAUUGCAGUGUUCUGUCUGGGUCUUUCCGUGUCAUCCGCCCCACGAUCGUCUUGACAACUCUGUAGCUAACAAGGUGUUGCUCUUUAUGAUGGCUGCUAUCCCGUGAAAGCUGCCAAUGGGUAACUGAGGAGAAGAGAAGCAAUUCAUGCCGAGCAGGACUGGAUGAGAAAUUGGAUCAAGAUUGACUCAGCUGCAAUUCUGGGUCCAGAAAACACCAAAUAUGUAGUCUUGAUGUGGAAGCACAUUGAUUGUGAUAAUCAUCCAGAUAAUAAGGCACAGAAGACAAGAAAAAUUAUUUUUUUCCUAAGCAUACUUGUGAUAACUCUUGCUUAGUAAUGUGUGUGUAUAUGUGAAAAGACAGAGAAAAGGGAAGAGAGACAGGAAGAGAGAGGGGGAGGUAAUUACCAUGUUUGAUUAAUUUAGUUUAUCUGAUCACAAUAUUUUUUUUAAUUUACCAAAUUAGUGAGUUAAUCUUUUAAUGUUAUCUAUUUCCAAAAAACUGGGCUUUGAGUUUCCUAUUGUAUAUGGUCCUAGCACCUACAUAGUAAUACAUAUUUCAUUCAAACAGACAGUUGUUGACACACUGAAAAGCAUCAUCUAAAUUAUCCCUAAGAACAGUAUCUUGAUAAAAUUUGAAAGUAACCUAAACAUAUGUAUAGGUAUAAAUAUAGCAAUAGCAAGAAUAAAACUGAAAAGAGAACAUAUUUGUACUACUUGAAUAUAUAAUAAGCAAACAACACUAAUAAGAGUCUGAGCCACAUUAUACCAGUACUCUGGGAAGCUGGAAACUGGUUUUACCAUCUGUCAGCUUCUAUACUGGCAGCAUCACAAAUGAGACCUCUUUUGAACAAAACAUCACAGCAGGAGCCACAGACAUGUGAAUUGUAAUUAACACGUGAAAAUGCAUUUCAUAGCUUUUGUCAUUUAUAGAAAACAUAUUGUGAAUUUUUGAUUUAUAAAAUUAUAUCAAAUGUAAGCCAUUUUAAUUUUCCAAACUUAUACACUAUUUCAUCAAAACUUUGGCCUUUACCAACAGUGAGUAUUCCUUAGGUCUGGUUCACUCUUUAAUGAGGAUCAAUUAUUUCCUAAUCAUUCAGGUACAGAAGAUGAACAAAAAUAUAAAUCUGCUGAGGACAAAUAGUAUUGUUUUACAUUUAUUUAAUAGUAUUUUCUACAAUAAAAACUAUUUUCUAUAAUAAAAAGGUAUAUUCCUGGCCAGGCGGUGGUGGCGCACUCCUUUAAUCCCAGCACUUGGGAGGCAGAGGCAAGCAGAUUUCUGAGUGCGAGGCUAGCCUGGUCUACAAAGUGAGUUCCAGGACAGCCAGGACUAUACAGAGAAACCCUGUCUCAAAAAAAAAAAAAAAAAAAAAAACCCUGAGAAAUAUAAAGUCAAAUCAAAUCCUCAAACCUAAUAAAAUUUUUUCCUCCCUUUCAUACCUAAGAGAACAAAAAUAUUCUAGUUUCUUAGCUCUUUCAUACCUGAAAACCCAAAUGCACAGCUCAUGAGAUGUAACUGUUGUGUUACACACAUUAAACAAAUGUUCAAAAAUAGCAAUAAGAUGAGUGUUCCAAAUUGCUGACCAAAAUAUGAACCAAUAUUAAAAUACAAUGUUUAUAUUCAAAAUAUUUAAUCUCCAUUCAAAAUGUCUGAGUGUUUCUAGAAAUUCAGGUUAAUUUUAAAGUCAACAUUCUUGCCAUUUGUUAUUUUGGAGUUUAUCAGGUGGAUUUAUGUUUUACAUUCAAACACACUGAUACUCCUUUAAACAUCUUGAUACCUCUAACCUGCCAUUGGGUGCAUUCUCAUACAUUGCUUCCAACUUUCUCUUUAAGUACUAACAUUAAUAAAACAAGAUUGGAGCUGGAAAAAUAAUUCAGCUGUUAGGAGAGUGCAUGCUGUUCUUACAGAAAACCAGAAUUGGGUUAUCGGCAACUGUAUCAGGCAGCUCAAAACUGCUAAUACAUAACCCAGUUCCCUGGGAUUGAGUGCCCUCUGGCCUCUGUGAGUGCCUACACACAGAUGGACACACCCAUGCACACAUACCCUGACAUACACAAAAUUAAAUAAAAAUAAAAACUUAGGAUAGGAGUUUGUCACUAAAUUGCAUGAUUCAUAUACACCUGCCACGCAUCCCUCCUAUCAGGUAUUUCUGGCAAUGUCUGGGGAAAACUAAGUGCUAGGAUUUAGGUCUCCUCCACUUGACUUUAGUGGACUUAUGUGAAGACCUCACCAUUGGUGAAAAUGGUGUGUGAUUUCCUAGCUCUGUCAUUACCAUCCACUUCAUACUGUGCUCCUGGGACACAUGCUCUUGUACUGCAAACUACCUACUGUGACAAAGGAGAAGAAGGCCGUAUGUCCCCAAUGUUCGGCACCAUCUGACUGGUGCCAUAUGUGCCAAUAUACCAGCCAUCUAUAAGAGGGAGCCUUGGUGUCCUAUCCCUGCCCUCCAGUAAGCCACAUGAAACAGAAAUAAGCCUCGUCAGAUUCCUACUCUGUGUAACAAACUCCCACAAAUGCACGGAUAUUCUAAAGUGAUGCCAGCCGGUUGGAUCAUAGUUCCGAAAGUUGGAAAACUCUGUGCACCAUCACACACCUGAGAGCAAAGUUUACUUCACAUACUGAGUCCCUGAGAUACACAGCCACGUCUGUCCAAAUUCAUUCUCCCUGGCAGAAUCCUGCUCUUGUAUUUCAGAGACUGAGACCUUUGUUUCCUGAGUAUGAGGCGCUUCAGCUGGCAAGAGAAGCUUCAAAUCUCUGCAAUUUACAUCCUUAACGUCCUCUUAUUCCACCAACUUGAGAAAACUCUGCCUUUAAAGGAGUCCUGGGAUUGUGUUAGAAGGAUUGAGAAAAUCUUAUCUGUGCUUGACUGUGAGUAUAUUACUAAUCACCUGAGCAAAAUCAUUAUAUGCACAGGCUCUAUCUAUAUUUAAAGUGAGGAUGAACAUGCAAAACUGAGGGUUCUUAGGGGUUAGCACACAGUUCUGCCAGUCUCCUUCAGCACUGGAUUAGAAACCAAAGAUGGGGUCAUGAAAGACUUGCUCAUCAUUAUAUCUCUGAAGCGCUGUAUUCAGGACAAGGAGUGAUUUUAUCACGUAAAUUCAGUCUUUUAUCCACAAUCUGUGAUAAUAGCAGUGUAUUAUUACUCAAUUUUUGUCUUAAAGACUUUAUUUUCCUUU